rnacentral:rRNA from 1 species
CCCUUAGAUGUUCUGGGCCGCACGCGCGCUACACUGACGAAUGCAACGAGCUUAUAACCUUGGCCGAAAGGUCUGGGUAAUCUCCAAAUUUCGUCGUGAUGGGGAUAGAUUAUCGCAAUUAUUAAUCUUCAACGAGGAAUGCCUAGUAAGCGCAAGUCAUCAGCUUGCGUUGAUUACGUCCCUGCCCUUUGUACACACCGCCCGUCGCUCCUACCGAUUGAAUGGUCCGGUGAAGCGUUCGGACCGUGGCCUUUGGACGGUUCGCCGUCUGUUGGCUGCGGGAAGUUCGUUAAACCUUAUCAUUUAGAGGAAGGAGAANUCGUANCA